rnacentral:ncRNA from 2 species
CACGUACGGGAAGGCCUUUCUUUAGGAGAAGAUAGGUAACUGAUUAAAAGGGAAUAGGAGUGCAAUUCUCCAACAGUCCCGCUGCUGUGAUUCUUGUGAAAACUCGCUACGUGAUGCCACUGAUGCUAAUCUGUUAUGCGUUGGGAAGGUGUAGCGAGAAGGAGAUAAGUCAGAAGACCUGCAAAGCUUGUUCUGCGGCU